GUCCUGAUGCACUUAAUGGUAAGACUCCUCUCUUUUAAAAAAGAUAUUUGGGUUCGAUUCCCAAUCAGGAAU